AUGGCCGGGGUAUCAAUUGUUUUUUAAUUAAAGGCUUGUAUGAAUGGUUGGAUGAGAUAUAAACUAUUUUUAUUUUAUAAUAAAUGAAUUUUAAUUUUUAGUAAAAAUGCUAAAAUUAAAUAAUUAGACGAGAAGACCCUGUGAAUCUUUAUUUUUUUUAAUAAAUUUAAUAUUUUGUAAAUUAAUUUAAAUAUACUAAUAAAAAUUUUAUUGGGGCGAUAAUUAAAUUUAAAAAACUUUAUUUUUAUUUAAUAAUUAUAAUUAAUUUUUUGAUCCAUUAAUAAUGAUUAUAAAAUUAAGUUACUUUAGGGAUAACAGCGUAAUUAUUUUAAAGAGUUCUUAUCGAUAAAAUAGAUUGCGACCUCGAUGUUGAAUUAAGAGUAAUUUUAGGUGCAAAAGUUUAAAUUUUAAGUCUGUUCGACUUUUAAAUUCUUACAUGAUUUGAGUUCAAACCGGCGUAAGCCAGGUUGGUUUCUAUCUUUUUUAAAUUUUUAUAUUUUAGUACGAAAGGACCAAAUAUAAUAAUUUUAUUAUUUAUUUUGAAUUAUAAUAAUUAUC
rnacentral:rRNA from 1 species